CCUACGGGAGGCUGCAGUGAGGAAUAUUGGUCAAUGGGCGCUAGACUGAACCAGCCAAGUAGCGUGAAGGAUGACUGCCCUAUGGGUUGUAAACUUCUUUUAUAUGGGAAUAAAGUGCAUUAUGUAUACUGCUUUGCAUGUACCUUAUGAAUAAGGAUCGGCUAAUUCCGUGCCAGCAGCCGCGGUAAUACGGAGGAUCCGAGCGUUAUCCGGAAUUAUUGGGUUUAAAGGGAGCGUAGGCGGGUUGUUAAGUCAGUUGUGAAAGUGUGCUGAUCAACAGUAGCAUUGCAGCUGAUACUGGCAGCCUUGAGUACAGUAGAGGUAUGCGGAAUUCGUGGUGUAGCGGUGAAAUGCUUAGAUAUCACGAAGAACUCCGAUUGCGAAGGCAGCCUGCUGCACUGUAACUGACGCUGAUGCUCGAAAGUGCGGGUAUCAAACAGGAUUAGAUACCCUUGUAGUC
rnacentral:rRNA from 1 species